rnacentral:rRNA from 1 species
UGGGGAAUAUUGGGCAAUGGGCGAAAGCCUGACCCAGCCACGCCGCGUGAGUGAUGAAGGCCUUCGGGUCGUAAAGCUCUGUGGGGAGGGACGAAUAAGCCGGGUGCUAAUAUCACCAGGCCCUGACGGUACCUCCUUAGCAAGCACCGGCUAACCAUGUGCCAGCAGCCGCGGUAAUACAUGGGGUGCAAACGUUGCUCGGAAUUAUUGGGCGUAAAGCGCACGUAGGCGGUUUGUUAAGUCGGAUGUGAAAUCCCUCGGCUCAACUGAGGAAGUGCAUCCGAAACUGGCAGGCUUGAGUACUAAAGAGGGUCGCGGAAUUCCCGGUGUAGAGGUGAAAUUCGUAGAUAUCGGGAGGAACACCGGUGGCGAAGGCGGCGACCUGGGUAGAUACUGACGCUGAGGUGCGAAAGCGUGGGGAGCAAACA